rnacentral:tRNA from 1 species
UUUUUAGAAACUGAAAUUCAUAGUGCCAAAUUCUUACUUUGGUUGUUGGUUUGUAGCCCUAUUAAA